UACAGAGGGCUCAAGCGUUGUUCGGAUUCAUUGGGCGUAAAGGGUGCGUAGGCGGCGCCAUAAGUCAGGUGUGAAAUCUCGGGGCUCAACCCCGAAACUGCAUUUGAUACUGUGGUGCUCGAGUACUGGAGAGGAGAUUGGAAUUUACGGUGUAGCAGUGAAAUGCGUAGAUAUCGUAAGGAAGACCAGUGGCGAAGGCGAAUCUCUGGACAGUUACUGACACUGAGGCACGAAGGCCAGGGGAGCAAACGGG
rnacentral:rRNA from 1 species